CCCUGACGGCGAUGCUCUUUCCAUUUCUGUAGGAUCCUCUGAAGAGACCGUCUCACUAUGGCUUUUUCCUAAGAAUGUCCUGCUUCCCGGAUGUCAGCUGAAAUAGUCAGACCACCCUCUCGAGGAAUGGCUUCACCCUGGCUUUAGGUUGAUCAGAUCCUUCAUGAGGAGUUCCCACCAUCUGACUUCUCAAACAAGCACAGGAACCUGUAUGAGAUCACGAGGCACCGUCAACACUCUCCUUAGACAUCGCCUUGCCUGGAGCACCAAGUGCAUUUGCAUCUUCUAGGUUAUCACAAGUAACUUCGUUCCUCCUACUUCCAACAGCGAUUCUCCUGUCCUCCCAGGCUCCCUGAGCCAAAUCCCCACAUGUGUCCAGCUCUCCCCAGUGCUUUGCCAAGUCCCCCGGGCUGCUUCUUGCCCACUCUACAAGCCAGGACCACGUUUUGUCAUACAGCUCCUUAUUCCAAUUACAGAUCUGUCUGCCACUUAUUAUUGCUACCAAGUGACCACCUUCCAGUCUAAUGGUCUAGUUGUUACACGUAGCUCAUGACAAUCAUUACUGUUGUAGCAUUUACAUGAUCUCUGGGACAGAGAUCCCAAAAAAGAAUGAAAAGAAUGCAGCACUGAAUCCUCCUUGCUCCUUGAUAUCAGUGAGCUAAGAAGACCAAAGAGCCAAAGUCCUUAAGGCCUAAGAACGGGCAUCGCCAACAGGGCUGCGGCUCGUCCACCCAGGCUCCUCCUCAUGGCUGGCUGAAUCCACAGCCUCUGCAUGGACCACCUGGUCCAUUGUUAUCAGCACAGCCGCUGCCACACUGUUCCCUCAAGUGCGUGUGCCAGCUCAUGCCUCCGUCAGCCAGACCACGAGUAAGCACUAUUCCACAUUC